UGAUCCUGCCAGUAGUCGUAUGCUUGUCUCAAAGAUUAAGCCAUGCAUGUGCAAGUAUGAACCAAUUUGAACUGUGAAACUGCGAAUGGCUCAUUAAAUCAGUUAUAGUUUGUUUGAUAGUAACUUUACCCUGGAUAACCGUGGUAAACCUAGAGCUAAUACAUGCGCAAUAUCCCUGACUGGCAACGGAAGGGGAUGUAUUUAUUAGAUAAAAACCAAUGCGGGCUGCUUUCGGGUAGCUCGGUAGCUGGGUGAUUCAUAAUAACUUGUCGAAUCGUUCAUGGCCUUUUUGAGCCUACGAUGGUUCAUUCAAAUUUCUGCCCUAUCAACUUUGUAGGUAGUAUAGAGGACUACCUAGGUGGUAACGGGUAACGGAGAAUCAGGGUUCGAUUCCGGAGA
rnacentral:rRNA from 1 species